GAUCCUGGGCUCAGGAUGAACGCUAGCUACAGUCUUAACACAUGCAAGUCGAGGGGCAGCAUUUUAGUUUGCUUGCAAACUGAGGAUGGCGACCGGCGCACGGGUGAGUAACACGUAUCCAACCUGCCGAUAACUCCGGAAUAGCCUUUCGAAAGAAAGAUUAAUACCGGAUGGCAUACGAAUAUCGCAUGAUAUUUUAUUAAAGAAUUUCGGUUAUCGAUGGGGAUGCGUUCCAUUAGUUUG
rnacentral:rRNA from 1 species